AUGGAUGAUAUCCGUAUAUGGGCGUCUUACCGGGGUCAAACACUUGCCAGAACUGUGAGAGGGAUGAUGUACUAUAGACGAGCUCUUGAAGUGCAAUGCUAUGAGGAUAUGAAAAGUGAACAAGGGCUAAGGAAAAGCUGGCGGGAAAUACCAUGUUCCUGCCGGGUUUUUUCUUUUGAAGAGGGGGGAGGGGGGGAGUUAGAUCGAUUACCUAUUUGGCUAUUCAUGCCGAAGUUUGAAGUUCCUCACAGGGUACGAUUCCACUAUGGUCACCCUGAUGUUUUCGAUAGAAUCUUUCACAUCACAAGGGGUGGCAUAAGCAAGGCCUCAAAGGUUAUUAACCUCAGUGAGGACAUCUUUGCAGGAUUCAAUUCAACCCUGCGACAAGGAACUGUUACCCAUCAUGAAUACAUACAGUUGGGUAAAGGACGUGAUGUUGGAAUGAACCAAAUAUCCAACUUUGAGGCCAAGGUGGCAAACGGUAAUGGUGAACAAACUCUAUGUCGUGAUGUUUACCGACUAGGACACAGAUUCGAUUUCUACAGGAUGUUGUCUAUGUACUUCACCACAGUUGGCCUCUACUUCAAUAGCAUGGUGGCUGUUCUUACGGUGUAUGUAUUUUUAUAUGGGCGGUUGUAUCUUGUUUUGAGUGGCCUAGAAAAGUCGAUUCUCCAUGAUCCACGGAUUAAAAACAUCAAACCCUUUGAAAAUGCACUUGCCACCCAAUCGGUAUUCCAACUUGGGACGUUGCUCAUCCUCCCGAUGAUAAUGGAGGUCGGCUUGGAGAAAGGGUUUGGUAAAGCCCUGGCUGAGUUUAUAAUCAUGCAACUUCAGUUAGCUCCUAUGUUCUUCACUUUUCAUCUCGGGACAAAGACUCACUACUAUGGAAGGACUAUACUUCAUGGUGGUGCAAAAUAUAGAGGAACAGGCCGGGGUUUUGUUGUACGCCAUGCGAAAUUUGCUGAGAAUUACAGAAUGUACUCACGGAGCCACUUUGUGAAAGCAUUGGAGCUGCUCAUCCUCUUGGUUGUUUAUCUAGCAUACGGGAGUUCUUACAGGAGCUCGAGUUUGUAUGUAUACGUCACAAUUUCGAUGUGGUUCCUUGUUUUCUGCUGGCUGUUUGCACCUUUUAUCUUCAACCCAUCAUGCUUUGAGUGGCACAAGACGGUUGAUGACUGGACUGAUUGGUGGAAGUGGAUGAGCAAUAGGGGUGGUAUUGGGCUGGCACCUGAGCAAAGUUGGGAGGCUUGGUGGGUGAGUGAACAUGAGCACCUAAAGAAUGGAACAAUACGUAGCUUGCUCUUGGAGCUGGUUCUGUCGCUGCGCCUCCUGAUCUACCAAUAUGGUAUUGUGUACCACUUGCACAUAGUGCACGAGAACAAAAGCUUCAUGAUAUAUGCACUAUCGUGGCUGGUUAUUGGCAUCGUUCUUGUUUUGCUAAAGGUUGUUUCACUGGGGAGAGAGAAGUUUGUUACCAAGUUUCAGCUUGUGUUCCGUAUACUCAAGGGCAUUGUGUUUCUUGUCCUCAUCGGCUUGAUGGUGGUCUUAUUUGUUGGUUUUGAUCUCGCUGUGUCAGACGUUGGCGCCAGUGUCUUGGCCUUCAUCCCAACUGUCUGGUUUAUUCUUUUGAUGGCACAAGUGUGUGGACCGCUGUUUCGGAGGUUAGUGAUUGAGCCACUUGGCGUGCUGUGUUGCUCCUGCUGCCCUGGUGGAGCAUGCCGAGGGCCUUGCUGCGCCAAGUUGAGGCAGAGUGGGGCUGUGCUCUGUAAGAUAGGGCCAUGGGACUCCAUCCAAGAGAUGGCAAGGAUGUACGAGUAUACCAUGGGGAUCCUCAUCUUCCUGCCCAUCGCCGUCCUCUCGUGGUUCCCCUUCAUGUCAGAGUUCCAGACGCGUCUGCUCUUCAACCAAGCCUUCAGCCGGGGCCUGCAGAUCUCGAGGAUCCUCGCUUACCAAGCGUGA
rnacentral:rRNA from 1 species